GCUGCCCAAACAACUACAACUGUUGCCCCAACAACUACAACUACAGGUCCAACAAAUACAACCUUGUUAACAUCGUCUGCUGCUCCCACAUCAAUGCUAACAUUUACAUCUGCAGCUCCUCGUCCUACAGAUCAAACUUCUAAUGGUUUGGAGUAUCUGUUACAUCUAAACAUGAAGUUACGAUCUUAUGGAGAGAUCAGCAAUGCAACCAUAGUUCAUCUCAUUGAACAGUUUUUCAGAGACCAGCUCCUUAAUGGAUCCGCCCACAGGGUGACUGUACGAAGCAUUCAACGGGUUAGAGUUAACCCAUAGACAAAAACAGCAUCUACAUGACAUGUUCUCUCUAUUAUUUAACCGCUAUAUCAAUAUAUUGGAAACAAUAAGUACUAAUGAUAUUUCAAGUCAAGUUUGAGUGUCUGAACCUGGAAUUAGCUACAGGAUGAUGUUUAACCAGUAAAUAUUAUCCAUACUGAAGUUGGAACACCUUAAAUUUAGGUCAGAAAACCGUCACCCAGUCUAAAACAGAAGUUAUUUUUGUUUUUAAUAUCAGUCUGGAACAGAAAAUCUGAGUUUUCCCAGAAUUAACUUAAUCAGUUUAUAAAUAACCUGCUUUCUGGAAAACCCUUAUGAAAUACCAAAGUUUGUGUAGAUUCAAGGUAACGUCUGAACUCAUUGAUUUUGCUUUUCACAAUUGACUAUGCAAAGUGUAAAAAUGUCUUAGUAUAAAAAUGUCAUAAAUCAAAGUUAUGUAAUCUAAUCAAAUGGUUAUUUUUUAUUGUUUCACUGCAGAUUCUAAUUUUGUUGCGUUUUUGUCGGUUUUGUAGACGUACAAUCAUUUUAAAACUCAUUUUGAACUAAAUUGGUUUUGUUGAUAACUUCAUAAUAUUUAUUCUAAUAUAUGUUUUGAUUGUAUUUUAACUUUUUCAGCUUUGCAGUUAAAGUACAAUUAAAGUAUUCAUAUGAACUGCAAGUCGUUUAGCUUGAUGUUACCUCAAUACAAAAACCCAGUGAAAGUGAAAAUAUAAAGACUUUUCUGAGCUUGAAAAGUCAAAAACGUGCAAGAAAAAUACUAAACAUUUUUGACUUUUGAAAUUUCCAAGAAAAAAAACUUGCGCAGUUGAAUUAAAUGUCAUCUGUGUAUAUUUAUUUUGUUUUUCUGCUUGGAUAGAAACAGAAAAUUAAAGAUUGUUGUAGUGUGUGGCAUG